GACGAACGCUGGCGGCGUGCUUAACACGUGCAAGUCGAGCGGUAAGGCCCUUUCGGGGGUACACGAGCGGCGAACGGGUGAGUAACACGUGGGUGACCUGCCCUCAGCUCUGGGAUAAGCCUGGGAAACCGGGUCUAAUACCGGAUAUGACUCCAUGACGCAUGUUGUGGGGUGGAAAGCCUUGUGCGGCUGAGGAUGGGCCCGCGGCCUAUCAGCUUGUUGGUGGGGUGAUGGCCCACCAAGGCGACGACGGGUAGCCGGCCUGAGAGGGCGACCGGCCACACUGGGACUGAGACACGGCCCAGACUCCUACGGGAGGCAGCAGUGGGGAAUCUUGCGCAAUGGGCGAAAGCCUGACGCAGCGACGCCGCGUGAGGGAUGACGGCCU
rnacentral:rRNA from 1 species